CUUUCUUUUGGUUCUUUUAAAAAGUAGAAAACCAGAUGCCUAUCAGCCACCGCCCUAAUUGAUCUUCUUCCCUGAUUUUUUCCCCAGACCAUAAUUUAUCAAAAAGAAAAAACAAAACAAAACCUUUGCGAUUCACCAAAAACUCUCAAAUAUGUCUACGCCAUCUUCUUCCAACUCACAAAACGAAUAUUUGGUAUGUCUUAUUUUGGAUGGAAACCUAACAAAAAGCUGCAAAGAUGUCUCGAAUCGUGUUGCGGCGGAUGUUUGCGAUUGUCAUUUGCCGUUGUUUGGUUUUACCGAUAACAUUAACGAGGGCCAAUUAAUCAGUAUCUUAGAGAAUUUCUUGAAGAAUUACAAGAAAAGUCCUAUUUCACUAAAGUUUUCAGAUUUAUGUUCCCAAACAAAAAAGAUCUUUUUUUAAUACCCGCCGCAUCGAUUCAAUUGCUUGAGUUCCAUUCCGGACUGUUCAAGGAAUUGGCUAAUUUCCAAGUGCCAGAUGAAUAUAAACCGGAUAUUUGGUUUCCUCGAGCUACCUUCUCUAUCGUAAAAGGAGAUGAGCAACUAUGUGAAGGAUUUGCUGCCGCUAGGAAAUAUCUGGGGUUUCCAUUAAAAGGAUCUGCGCAUAAACUUGCACUCCUACGGAUUUCGCCUGACCUCAGGAGAGCAUGCUGGUCUGGCAACCUUUCCAAUGAGGGAGGCAAAGAUAAUCACAAGGGCCAGAUCAGCUGGCAAAUGAGGAAGUGUGGCUCUGGAGGAAGUUGUACUAUUGGAAAGGACUGAACCAAGUGUAGCUGGGAGAAGAUCAUAAAGAAGCUCUAUCUCCCAUUAGCAAAGGCUAAUCUAAAAUCCAAUGGCAGGCUCAAUGAUGUUGGAAGAUGCCAUAUGUUCUUGCAAGGACUAUUUACUAUCCAAUUCAGUUAGUUUUAGUUAUUCUGAUGGCUGUUGUGCUGGCGUCCCAACGCCAUCCAGCCACCAUGCUACUUCCCUUCCUCUCUUUUUAUGGUUAGGCACCCAACCUAUGGUGCUCUAAACGUUAUGUAUGACUCAAGGGCAACCCUCUUUUUAUUUAAUGCUUUCAGUUUUUCUA